UGGCCAGACCAUUGCCGGACUUGGUUCUUCGGGGCUGGCGGAACCUUGGACCCUGUAUCAGGGAAGUGCCAUUGGACGGACGAGAAACUGCAAAUACCAGUCAAGAACCUUCGACACUAUAUCGAUGCAGCGCAGCAAGGGACGUUCGUUCCAGACAGGGAGAAGGACGAGCUCACAAUGGCCCUUGGGAAUCCUGAGCACCCUGGACGGACACGAGGCACGCCAGGCUCCAUUCCGUGGAAGGUUGGUUUUCCGGACGCAGGGGGUUACAAAACCCACGAGAGGAGGAAGAAACUGGAGCAGGGCCAACUGCAGGCGCUGCACAAAAGGGUAAUGGGGCUAGAGGAACGAGAAGAGGAACUAGAAGCAGCAGAUCGCAGCAAACGACCUACCGAAGCUACCCCGCCAUCUCAGCAGAGAAGCAGCGUGGCUUCCACCGAGCUACUUCAGCCGGAGCAUGUCUUGACGGCUCCUGCCAGCUAUCCUGUGGAUGCUAUCACGGAGUCUCAAAAUUGCCACAUUAUGAUGCGAUGGAUGAAUUUCAAGGUCAAGGCGGCUGUUGGCUCUGUUUAUCCUACUAGACCCGACGCAACUUAUCACUGCCGGCCGAUUCCAGAAGGAUAUGCUAGGGUGAUGGUGGAUGAAAUAACGGAGGGAUUUGAGGACCUCCUGCUUGACCACCCUACCGGUGAAGGGGAGACUAGGUUGGGUUCUGCUCUGAAGACUCCAUGCCUAUGGCGGAAGGAUCUCAUC
rnacentral:rRNA from 1 species